rnacentral:rRNA from 1 species
ACGCUCGACACCUACGGAGGCAGCAGUGGGGAAUAUUGCACAAUGGGGGAAACCCUGAUGCAGCGACGCCGCGUGGAGGAAGAAGGUCUUCGGAUUGUAAACUCCUGUUGUUGGGGAAAAAGAGGAUGGUACCCAACAAGGAAGUGACGGCUAACUACGUGGCAGCAGCCGCGGUAAUCUGAGCGGGCUGGCAAGGC